rnacentral:rRNA from 1 species
AACGCUGGCGGCGUGCUUAACACAUGCAAGUCGAACGGGAUCCACUGGGCUUUUGUUUGGUGGUGAGAGUGGCGAACGGGUGAGUAAUGCGUGACUAACCUGCCGUAUGGUUGGGGAUAGCUCCUGGAAACGGGUGGUAAUACCCAAUGCUCCAGCUGGAUGCAUGUCUGGUUGGGAAAGCUUUUUGUGCCAUAUGAUGGGGUCGCGUCCUAUCAGCUUGUUGGUGGGGUGAUGGCCUACUAAGGCGUCGACGGGUAGCCGGCCUAAGAGGGCGACCGGCCACAUUGGGACUGAGAUACGGCCCAGACUCCUACGGGAGGCAGCAGUGGGGAAUAUUGCACAAUGGGCGCAAGCCUGAUGCAGCGACGCCGCGUGCGGGAUGGAAGGGCUUCGGGUUGUAAACCGCUUUUAUAGGGGGGGCAAGCUAUGCCUGUGUGGUGUGGUGAGUGGACUUUAUGAAUAA